CGAUUAAAAAUGGAACAAAUUAGUAAUAUAAAAUUCGUACAAGAAGUGGAAAACCGCCCUGUUUUAUAAUUCUAAAAUAAAAGGGUACUCAAGAAGAGAUAUCACUGACAAAGCUUGGAGUGAAGUCGGCAAAGUAGUAGAUCUCACAGUGCGUGAGGGCAAGGAGAAAUGGAAGAAUCUUCGCUCUGUUUAUGUCCGGCAUAUAAAACCCUCUCCCAGUGGUUCAGGCACCAAAAAUAAAAAGCCAUAUUACUUGGCAGAAGUCAUGCAGUUUACACUUCCUUUCAUCAAAACGUUAUGUACACCAGCUGGAAAUUUACCCCCAAACCCCAGCCAACUGUCUACACUAGAUCCGGAACAAGAGUCGUCUGCAGAUGGCUUACCGGCUGAAGAAGAAAAUUCGGACUCUUUAUUACAGAAUCAAUCACAAACCGAAGAGCUGCUGUCACCAGCAACACCCACCCCUUCCAGCCAGUUACCCGAAAGUUCAUCACAAAGUACAGAAACUGGACAUUCUCAGGAAGUAUCAAGUGAUUCUACUAGGUCUCACCUACGUAUAACAACCCGAAAAGCUCAGAAACGGACAAUUCCAGACGGAGAUAAGGCGUUCGAGAACUAUCUAGAAGCUAAAACUAAAAGACUUCGCGAUACCUCAAAUGAAGGGGACAAAAAACCAGAAGAUGGGAAAAGAACAUUUUUACUGAGUAUCCUGCCUGAGAUUGAACCCAUGACGAACACUCAAAUGAAGGCAUUAAGGCGUAGAGUUUUGCAACUUAUUGAUGAUAUCAUCAGUCCGGCUCCAUAUGUACCUCUGAGUGUACAAACCUAUCAACAAACCCCAACCUACUCGCUUGUGAUUUCACCACAUUCAUCAAUAUCUACUGCUACCAAUAAUCAAGUUUCUGACAGUUGAUCACCCCAAAACGAAAUGCCAAACGAAACGGAUGUUGCCAAAAACGAUUAUUAUAACGUUGUUCGAGAAGCUUUAGGACAGUGCACUGGAUAUAAUAUUAUUAUAUCUUAUUAUUAUAUCUUGUAUUCUAAUAUAAUUUCUACUGUGUACAUAUUUUCACAUUUUCCAUAAAAAAAACCAAACAUAAUAAAGAAUAUUAAGAAGCAA